GGGAAGGGUCAGAAGCUGUCCCUGGUCCGAGACACCUGAUUUGUCCGGGACAAGGCAGUGGGGGAGGGGAAGGGAAGAGGGGAUGCUCGGCCGGGACGUGUCGCGGCAGGGGGUAGAGGAUGAGGAGGCGGUCUGGGACCCCGACUCAUAUCUUUGGGGUGAGCACGAGGAUAUGGUGUAGGGAAGAGGACGAGUGAGCAGCGCCUGGCUCUAGGGUCGGAGGGAGCCUGAUCGUCCUGAGAGCCUUACCUUCGCAGUUUGAGAUUAGGGGAAGUUCGGGGCCUGAGAAGGUGGGCACGAUGCUGGAGCUGGGAAUCCUUCCUUGGAGCCCCUGGACCGAGUUGCGCUGCGCCUACAGCAACAGGCCAGGAAAAAGUGUCCAAACGCCUCGCGGACUGCAGCGGGGGAAAUGUCCCUUAAAAGUGCGACGAAGUGGGGAAGAAGGUGAGUGGGGACUGUUGUCCUGUUUACCUCUCUCCCCUCAACUCGCCCCGCUCCCCGCCCUUCGGAGGGCAGAGGAGUAGCUCAGUGGCAAAGUUUGGCUGGUAAAUUGUACCUCCUUUCCCCAUUCCCCUCCCUUUUGUUCUUUAAAGAACUCGCGCAAUUGUUUCAUUUGUUUAUUUUUAAUAGGCAAAAGCCAAGUAGGCAUUUAUCUCAUG
rnacentral:lncRNA from 1 species